GCAGAACAAAGUCAACAGCAGCAACAACUGACAACGACAGCAGCGACCCAUACUAGCAACAUCAAUAACACCCACAAUUUCAAGGCAACAACAGUAAAGCAAUUUUGAAAUUCAAAUCUCAAUUGGUAUUCCCUCUUUACCCCUCCGUUUUCCCCAAAUCAGUGCAAAAGCUCCUAUAAAUACCCAUGUAUGUAGAGUGAAGGGAAGAAGAGGAUUUUUGGAGAAAAAUUGAGGGUUUGGGAGGCGUGAGUUUCUAAUCCUACGCAACCAAAAAUUCUCGAAGAAACACCGGUUUGAAAUCGUCCAUUCGUCGUCCAGAUUCGCUGCUCCGAAACCGGUAAGGACUUCAUUCUCUUUGUAUUUAUCUUCACUUUUAUUUUUAUGUAUUUGGAAAUUGUAAUUGCAAAUUGAAUACUGUGUUGUCAUUUCGAUCCUUCGUUGGGCUUAACAAGUUAUACGAUUUGUCAGACGGGUUUAUAUUGGAAUAUAUGUGUGUUUGGUGUGUAUCGGAAUUGAAAGUAUAAUUAAUCAUUAACAUGGAUUGAAAAACUCGAAGCUUUUAACAGAUUGUGCCAUGUUUGAUUAUCAUCUUAAGCCUCGGUUACUUUUUUUCCCACUUGUAAAAGGUUGAAAAUAUGCUUUAAAUUUUUUAUGAAUUCCUAAUUACUAAAUCUUAAAUAGUAUUAUCUGUACAGACAAUGUGUAACUCCAGUGGCUUCCCAUUUUAUUCAGUUUAUUUUUCUCUUUUCUAUAGAAAUAAAUUCAUAAGUAGAUUGUGAUUAUAGCAUGUUUAAGUCAUGUUCUUGGUUUUUCUUUUGGUUCCAUUUUGGAAUAAAAUAAUUUUAUCUUUGCUAGCCAUUGAAAUAAAAAUAUGUAUACAUAUAUGUAUGUUUUACUAAAUGUUUCAAAUGAGACUAGUUAUAAGAUUUGUUAUGUUCACUUAAUUUUGUUCCAGUAAAAUAGCAGGUUCUUAAUGUUAGUUGCCACACUUGAAUAAAAGUCCUCAUCACCUCCAAUUUUGUGUCCUUAUCACCUCCAAUUUUGUGAUAAAUAUGUGUGAUUUCAUUAUUUCUCAUUGGCCUAGGUCGCGUAAGCCCGGUUAGUGGAUCUAUUUGAUAAAUAAUAUGUUCCUCCUCGCUUUACUUUCCUCAAAAACCUAGUUAAUGUUUUGUUGUUAUUUGAUUCAUUUUACUGUUGGGUUCCAAGGAAUUAUUGUUUUUUUUUUCUUUAUAAAAGAUAUGUAUAAUUAUUCAAAAUCUAAAAUGUUAGCAGUAGGCUUCUAUCCCCAUAAUUUGAAUAUCGUGUCUAUUAGGACAUGAUCUUGCCAUAUAGUCUGAGAGGUUGGUUUCAUCAUGCUUUUCUUUGUUUGAACGUUGUGCCUUUUUACAUGGAUUAACUUUUUUGGUAUCAUUUUCUUCUUUGUCUAUGCAGACACUAAUAGUAACACCAGCCCAAUCCAACCUUUACUGACCCGGCCCGUAACCCUUUUGCCUUUUCCUCUUUUAACAUCAACAACACAAUUUCAACACAGCAACAUCAAUAACGCAGAACAAAGUCAACAGCAGCAACAACUGACAACGACAGCAGCGACCCAUACUAGCAACAUCAAUAACACCCACAAUUUCAAGGCAACAACAGUAAAGCAAUUUUGAAAUUCAAAUCUCAAUUGGUAUUCCCUCUUUACCCCUCCGUUUUCCCCAAAUCAGUGCAAAAGCUCCUAUAAAUACCCAUGUAUGUAGAGUGAAGGGAAGAAGAGGAUUUUUGGAGAAAAAUUGAGGGUUUGGGAGGCGUGAGUUUCUAAUCCUACGCAACCAAAAAUUCUCGAAGAAACACCGGUUUGAAAUCGUCCAUUCGUCGUCCAGAUUCGCUGCUCCGAAACCGGUAAGGACUUCAUUCUCUUUGUAUUUAUCUUCACUUUUAUUUUUAUGUAUUUGGAAAUUGUAAUUGCAAAUUGAAUACUGUGUUGUCAUUUCGAUCCUUCGUUGGGCUUAACAAGUUAUACGAUUUGUCAGACGGGUUUAUAUUGGAAUAUAUGUGUGUUUGGUGUGUAUCGGAAUUGAAAGUAUAAUUAAUCAUUAACAUGGAUUGAAAAACUCGAAGCUUUUAACAGAUUGUGCCAUGUUUGAUUAUCAUCUUAAGCCUCGGUUACUUUUUUUCCCACUUGUAAAAGGUUGAAAAUAUGCUUUAAAUUUUUUAUGAAUUCCUAAUUACUAAAUCUUAAAUAGUAUUAUCUGUACAGACAAUGUGUAACUCCAGUGGCUUCCCAUUUUAUUCAGUUUAUUUUUCUCUUUUCUAUAGAAAUAAAUUCAUAAGUAGAUUGUGAUUAUAGCAUGUUUAAGUCAUGUUCUUGGUUUUUCUUUUGGUUCCAUUUUGGAAUAAAAUAAUUUUAUCUUUGCUAGCCAUUGAAAUAAAAAUAUGUAUACAUAUAUGUAUGUUUUACUAAAUGUUUCAAAUGAGACUAGUUAUAAGAUUUGUUAUGUUCACUUAAUUUUGUUCCAGUAAAAUAGCAGGUUCUUAAUGUUAGUUGCCACACUUGAAUAAAAGUCCUCAUCACCUCCAAUUUUGUGUCCUUAUCACCUCCAAUUUUGUGAUAAAUAUGUGUGAUUUCAUUAUUUCUCAUUGGCCUAGGUCGCGUAAGCCCGGUUAGUGGAUCUAUUUGAUAAAUAAUAUGUUCCUCCUCGCUUUACUUUCCUCAAAAACCUAGUUAAUGUUUUGUUGUUAUUUGAUUCAUUUUACUGUUGGGUUCCAAGGAAUUAUUGUUUUUUUUUUCUUUAUAAAAGAUAUGUAUAAUUAUUCAAAAUCUAAAAUGUUAGCAGUAGGCUUCUAUCCCCAUAAUUUGAAUAUCGUGUCUAUUAGGACAUGAUCUUGCCAUAUAGUCUGAGAGGUUGGUUUCAUCAUGCUUUUCUUUGUUUGAACGUUGUGCCUUUUUACAUGGAUUAACUUUUUUGGUAUCAUUUUCUUCUUUGUCUAUGCAGACACUAAUAGUAGAACUAUCUAUCUUUCAUGAAAUUCUAAAUGUAUUUGCUAUCUUGAUUAGUUUAGGGUUUUGGAUGUUGAUAACUGUUAAAAUUAACAUCAGUCGUCCUCUUGACGUGUUAUUAAUUCCUUGUCUUUUUUUUGCAUAAAACCAUCUUGAACGAGUCCAAUGGGACUCCCCAUAUCGUUGCAUCGACCCACAUUAUCUCGAGUCAAGCCUUAAAGUCCAAAACUGGACUGAUAUGCAUGGGAUAUACACUUAGAUACAAUUGGUGUACACUGGAAAGCAGCUGAUAAUGGCGUAUAUUAAAAGUAGAAGCGAGCAUACAAGGUUUAUACACAGAUAUACAGAAGGUAUACAAAAAUCCGAUAAUACAGUCCGAUAUACAUCAGAUAUACAAAAACGCAGGGAAAGAAUAGCUGCUGUAUACAGCUGAUAUACAGGAGAAAAUGGAUUGAAAUCCAUUCGGCUUAGGCCCAAGAGCUGGGCAGCCCAGUAAUGGUCCAAAAGGGCCCAAUUUUUACUCUUUCUUUAUUUUUUAUUCCUACUUAUUUGUAUUUAUUUGAACACUAACUAACUAAUCUAGGUAAAUUCCCUAAAUUGUUGUCACUUUUAUUUUAUCUUAGUUUUUUUCGCUUAAUUAAUAAUUUCCUCACCUAAUUUAUAUUGUUUAAGACGGAUUAAAUUAUUUCCUUUGAUUUUCUCCUUAAAAUAAGUCUUUUAAAAGUG
rnacentral:lncRNA from 1 species